CCAUCGCUUCUCAUAGUUUUCGAGUGUGAUAGUGGUUUUACAAACUGAAGUAUUGCAAACCCACUAUUUUCACUUCGAAAAUGAGAAGGUCGUUCUCACAU
rnacentral:pre_miRNA from 1 species